GGUGUGUUGGCUCAAUCAGUAGAGCGUCCGCCUCACAACCGGGAGGUCGUGGGUUCGAACCCCGGCCGCGUCA
rnacentral:tRNA from 1 species